rnacentral:tRNA from 1 species
CCUUGGGUGGUGCAAAUGGUAACAUGCUUGGUUGCUAACCAAAAGGUUGGAGGUUUGAGUCCACCCAGAAGCA